GCAAAGAGACGGUGAGUGAGGGAGGUUUCUUUUCAAAACAAAAAAAAAGCCACUUUCCACACAACACACUGGGCUCGAUCCACUCACCCGUGCCGACUUCUGACAGGGUCCAGACAGGAGGAAGCGGGCGAUCAGGAAAGAAAUGUCUCACAACCAGUUGGAGAAGAAUGGCAGAUAUUAGAUUCCUAACCCAAAUGAGGAAAAAUCGUGCUGAAGUUGGCUGAAAAGAACACAACACUCAUUUGGGAACCCAGAUAAUGGUACUAGUGGCAUGCAGAAAAUCUCUGCAAAGAAGAAGCCAGCAUUGCUGACCUUCAACACCACUUCCAUCUCUGAGGAGGAAGCCACGCAACCCUCAGAUGAUGCAGCAAUAAGGCU